rnacentral:rRNA from 1 species
ACAAUGGGCGAAAGCCUGAUGCAGCGACGCCGCGUGGAGGAUGACGGCCUUCGGGUUGUAAACUCCUUUCGACAGGGACGAAGCGAGAGUGACGGUACCUGUAGAAGAAGCACCGGCCAACUACGUGCCAGCAGCCGCGGUAAUACGUAGGGUGCGAGCGUUGUCCGGAAUUACUGGGCGUAAAGAGCUUGUAGGCGGUCUGUCGCGUCUUCUGUGAAAACUUGGGGCUCAACCUUAAGCUUGCAGGCGAUACGGGCAGACUAGAGUACUUCAGGGGAGACUGGAAUUCCUGGUGUAGCGGUGAAAUGCGCAGAUAUCAGGAGGAACACCGGUGGCGAAGGCGGGUCUCUGGGAAGUAACUGACGCUGAGAGCGAAAGCAUGGGUAGCAAACAGGAUUAGAUACCCUGGUAGUCCAUGCCGUAAACGGUGGGUACUAGGUGUGGGUUUCCUUCCACGGGAUCCGUGCCGUAGCUAACGCAUUAAGUACCCCGCCUGGGGAGUACGG